rnacentral:lncRNA from 1 species
CACAGGAGCCCGUGACACUUUUCUUUUAAGAGCAUCUGUGUUCUUGUGGGAACCAAACAAGUAAUGUCAGAACAGGCCAGAGCAACACAAGGGUGAGGACCACGCUGUUAUGAUAAUCUGGUUUUCAUUCUCCUCCAGCUGCUGGAAGACUGCAGGACCUGGAGAUGCACAGAUCACUUCAUUCCAAGUCAGUGAUUCUAAAAGAAGACUCCUGUACAGAACACUUGGGACUGAAUGACGUAUCUUUUAAGGAUGGAAACACUUAUUUCCCUGUCAGUACCGAGAGGUGUUACCCUCAGUCUGAUCUCUCUGGCUGUCUCGCUCCUUUGAGAACAUGCAGAUCUCUGAGGACAAACAAGCUUGAAUUGUGCUGCACGCUUAGCAGGAACUCAGUAAGUAUAUUUAAAAUAUAUUAUUAAGUUAAAAACAUAAUUAUUUAAUUCAAUGAAGUAUAGCAUUCACUUUUUACAUUUAAGUAAAGCUUUUGAGAUAGUUAUAUUCACAUGAUAUUUAAGGUGAAUGGA